AUGAAGGAGAUGCUCGGAGGGUGCUGCGUGUGUUCUGACGAGAGGGGAUGGACAGAGAAUCCGCUGGUGUACUGCGAUGGACAGGGCUGUACCGUUGCUGUACAUCAAGCGUGCUAUGGCAUUGUCACUGUACCAACAGGACCUUGGUAUUGUAGGAAGUGCGAGUCGCAAGAACGCAGUGCACGGGUGCGUUGUGAGUUAUGUCCGAGUCGAGAUGGAGCCCUUAAGAGAACAGAUCAGGCUGGAUGGGCGCAUGUUGUGUGCGCUCUUUAUAUCCCAGAAGUUCGAUUUGGUAACGUGACUACAAUGGAACCAAUUAUAUUGCAUCUUAUUCCUUCGGAAAGAUUUAGCAAGACGUGCUACAUCUGUGAGGAACAAGGUAGAGGUAGCAGAGCAAAUGUGGGAGCCUGCAUGCAAUGUAACAAGACAGGCUGCAGGCAGCAAUUUCAUGUCACAUGUGCACAGGCUCUGGGCUUACUUUGCGAGGAAGCUGGCAAUUAUCUUGAUAAUGUCAAAUAUUGCGGAUAUUGCCAGCAUCAUUAUUCAAAAUUGAAAAAGGGUGGCAACGUAAAGACGAUACCACCGUACAAACCGAUACCCGCCGAUAAUGGUUCGUCGGACUCGUCGCCGGAGAAGGAGGCAGAAACACCGAUAAAAUCGUCGAGCGGCAAACGGAAGAGCUUGAGUUCCAAGUCCACUGCGAAUUCUAAAAGUAAAUCCAAUGCUAGUCCCAGUUUAGAGAUAAAUGGCGUAAUGGAUGACAAGAGUGGUGGUAGCGGUCGUAAUACGCCUAAAGAUAAUUCCACGAGUUCCAGCAAAUUUACGACAUCCAACUUUGUGGAGACUAUUGUCACACAGUCGGAGAGCGUGUUUGGGCACGAUGGCACCGGUGCUGUCACCACUGUUGCCACGGCAGCAAUCGCUUCCGCGUUGAAAACAAGCGGUAGCAAUUCGAACGCGGUGCACAAGAGCAUCGGUGGUCAGGGAAAAUCCAAUUCGUCGACUUCCAAUAAGACAUCGAGUCACACCAGCAAGAAGAGAAAGACUGGAGCACGUACGCCGACUGUGAUAGGAAACGAGAACUCGAACCAGUCGGCCAGUUCAGAAACUAGCGGCUCGGUCGUGGUGGCCGUUAGCAGUGUCGUGCAGCAAACCAUCCCGAGCAACAAUGUGCAGCCAACAAUCACCGAAGCCACGAGUUUAAGUACAACGACGGAACCGGAAAAAUCGAAAAAGACAAAAAUGGAGAGCCCGAUUCAGUCGUCAUCGUCGAAUACGCCGGUUGCUACAGAGGCAACCACGACACCUGUGAUAAUGACAGUGACACAAUCCCAGUCCUCGGUCGUCACUCAGUCGCCGACAACUACGUCGAACAGCAUCGUCGUCUCGGUGCCGUUGAUCGCCACCUCGCUCGCCAACACAGUUCAGAGCGUGGUGACGAGCGCGCCGACGAUAUACCAGCAGCUGCAGCAGAGUAUAAUCACCACGGCCGCCAAUACCGAGCUGCGAUCCAGCGCGAUGGUGACCACCGAGAGAUUCGCCGCCGAGGAAACUCCGGCGAAACGAUCUCGUUCCCAAUCAUUGGAUAAGCAAGAGAAAUCGCGCAAGCCGAAGCGCGGCUCGUCCAAUAGCCAAGGAGCCCUGCCGCAAUUGCAGACGGCCUCGUCAGUCGUAACUUCCGUAUCCAGCACCGCAGUUGUGGCGACGUCCAAGAGGGGCGCGAGAAAUAAUCAUCACACUCCUCCACCGGCCGUCACGGUGACUCCUGUGACCUCGGUCCCGACAAUAAUUCAGGGUCCCACAGCCGGCAUCGGACACUUCAGCAGUGUAAGCGGCACAGGCCCUGCAAACAUUAUGGGACCGACAGUCAAGGAGUCACCGCCUAGCAGUCCUGGAUCGGAGAGUAUGAGCAGUAGCACCAGUAAACGAAAGAGGAAAGCUGCCGCAUCUACACCUAUUCCAUCUGCAUCGACUACACCGACCGCUCUUACAACAAUAAAGGAAGAGAAUGUAAAAUUAUUUCAAAAUGGGGUCAGUGCUCCACAUAUGCUAGGGAAUCAGUUGAAUCCUACUUCAACAAUGGCGCAAAAGAUGUCGGAUACACUUUCACAGGAACUCGAGGCCCAUUCUAUUUUUACAGAAGCGAGUAACUCCAGUACAAACUUAGUUGGACCGCAGUUGCACAGUCGAGUAAUUGCAUCUAUACGAUCUAGCCAACCGGGACCGCCUACUUCGUUUUCCUCGGUUUUCUCCACAAACAGCAAUAGUGCGAAUCCUACACCCGGUACUAGUGGAACUCUGGGUGGUGGAACAAUUCCACAGACACUGGAUCAACUUCUAGAAAGGCAAUGGGAGCAGGGAAGUCAAUUUCUAAUGGAGCAAGCUCAACAUUUUGACAUUGCAUCCCUGCUUUCCUGCCUACAUCAAUUGAGAGCUGAGAAUCUUAGGCUAGAGGAACAUGUAAAUAAUCUCCUGCAGAGGAGAGACCAUUUAUUGGCUGUGAAUGCUAGACUCGCUAUUCCGUUGACAACUCAGCCUAGUUCACAUCCAGUGAAUAAUAUACAUCCAACGGUGAACCCCUCUCAUCCUAAUGUCUCGCACUCAGAAGUGCCGCCUGGCGCUCCGGCCCCGGUACCUAGAUCGAGUCGCGAACCGCGAGUGAACAACACUUAUAUGCCUCACUCCAGUUCCAGCGGUCAUCCAACGACGUUGGAAAACGGUUUACCACCGGAUCCCUCCCCACCUGCAGCAGCUUCUCUCUCUCAGUAUCAGCAUCGUGGAUCAUUGGUCGCGCCACAACCAAGCCCAACAAUUAGGCACAGUCCAGCCGGAGGUGGAUACCUUCAAGGUCAACCGAGCAACAUAGUAUCGCCGGCACCGGCGAACACUUCCGGUGUGGUCCGUAAUUCAUCUGUCACGCCGGAUCCAUUACGCGGAGUGCCGAGGUCGGCGUCGCAGUCGUCGAGCAGUUACAUACCGUCGAUGUAUCAGCCUACUAUGUCCAGUCUCACUGGUAAUCAAGUAGGCAACGUUCAUAAUCUCCAUCCGCACGGACCUUCGCCGACCAGCCACGGGCCACCGGGUAAACCCAGCUGAAGGCAUCAUCAUAUGUGAACAGCAAAUCCACAGAUGUACAAAUCUUAGACUCGGACUGAAUCGAAGAUCAUGGACUUAUCGAGCAGAAGACGCGUCUUAUCAGACACGAGGGAGAUUGCGAAUCGAUCGGGGUUAGGCGACUUGCGCUCUAUUCUCUCUUUUGGGCCCCCCGGUGCCACGAAAUCGUCCCUAAUUGUCCACAAAUCGACAACCACCCUCGAUUUCCCGAACCGUUAAAUACAGCCACCCCGAAGGCAGCAAUUGAACGGGAAAGAGGAGGGAGGAGUGGUUCCACUAGUCCCUUGGACAUGGGGGAGAGUUCGGGUUCACCGGGCACACCCCGUAGAAUAUGGAUUCAAUUACACCUCAUUGUACUGCGGUGUCUAUAAACAACGAUGUUUUCACAGCUGAUAGUGGCCCACCGUUCUGCGGGUCAUGCACUCCAACUUUGAAGUUGUUAAUGACGAUAAUGACGUGCGAUAAUGAAGCGUUCGAGCCGCGCCGGCAACUGGAACGCGAUGAGAGCGAGAAGGAGGACUCGAGGAGGACGCGUUUCGGCCCCCGUCGUCGCAAUGACGAGGAGGAAAAACGGAGGAUCGUGAGAAGACUCGCAGCCGUCGACGCCAUUAUCCCUGCUGAGUUGCAGAGCGUCGCGACGCCGCAAUAUCGACGUACCGCCUACCGUAUGUCCCUCCGUUUCCUGCUCUUUUUCUCUCCUUGCUAUAUCUCUCUCUCUCUCCGGAUCCACCCCCACGCGAAACACAAGAAGCACUUUUAGGGUGUUUCAGUUAUCAACUCUUCGGCGGUUUCGGCCAUCUUGCCACUACCCUCUUUUAAUGCAAAACUGUUGUCGAGAACGUUGUUCUUGAAAUGCGAAAUUUGAUGAGUUUGAAAGAUACCUUGCAAAUAAUGGCAGAUCUUCCAAAUCUAUCUCGCCCGACUUUUAAUUAUAAAACUUAGGUAGUUAACAAAGAAAUAGGUGAUAAUAUCUUAUUUAAACAUAAACUUUUGACUUAAUUUAACAAGCAAAAAAGUUUUUAAAGUUUGCGAUGUUUUUAUUGUCGGGAAAUUUUACCUGAAGGUUUAUGCAUCGAUUUCUAAUCUGUCAGAAAAAACAUGAAUUUUAUUUCAUAUCAAUUGCACUUUUUAAAGGUUUGCGAAAUAGAUGAUAGACAAAUUUUCAGAACUACUUUUAUUUGGCUUUGUUAUUCACAAUGGUGAUGAUGAUGCUCGCCGCACAUCAUCUCUAUUAUUCUACCGCGAUAAUGAUGUAUAAACGAUGUACUUAUCUUUUAAUUCUAUUUUGAUCAUUUUUAUUUACAAACCACGUCCUGCUGAACGUUCGUAAAAAUAUUUCAUAGAUAUACAGAUGUAUAGAUUUGAUGGUACAAAGGAUGAAAAGAUGGAAACUGAAUUGGCUGUUGCAAAAUAAACUCAAUUUACUUUCUUUUUAAAAAUAAAAUCUAA